rnacentral:rRNA from 1 species
CGGAUCCGCGCCGCUGCAGAGUUUGAUCCUGGCUCAGGACGAACGCUGGCGGCGUGCCUAACACAUGCAAGUCGAACGGGGCUAAAGAGCUUGCUCUUUAGCUUAGUGGCGGACGGGUGAGUAAUGCGUGAGCAACCUGCCUGUCAGUGGGGGAUAACUUCCGGAAACGGACGCUAAUACCGCAUAUUGUACAUAAUCCGCAUGGAUAAGUGUAUGAAAGGAGCAAUCCGCUGAUAGAUGGGCUCACGUCCGAUUAGUUUGUUGGUGGGGUAAUGGCCUACCAAGACUGCGAUCGGUAGCCGGGCUGAGAGGCUGAACGGCCACAUUGGGACUGAGACACGGCCCAGACUCCUACGGGAGGCAGCAGUGGGGGAUAUUGCACAAUGGGGGAAACCCUGAUGCAGCAACGCCGCGUGAGGGAUGAAGGUUUUCGGAUUGUAAACCUCUGUCCUUAGUGAAGAAAAAAAUGACGGUAACUAAGGAGGAAGCUCCGGCUAACUACGUGCCAGCAGCCGCGGUAAUACGUAGGGAGCGAGCGUUGUCCGGAUUUAUUGGGUGUAAAGGGUGCGUAGGCGGCUAUGUAAGUCAGACGUGUAAUGCAGGGGCUUAACCUCUGAACUGCGUUUGAAACUGUGUGGCUUGAGUGGAGUAGAGGCAGAUGGAAUUUCCAGUGUAGCGGUGAAAUGCGUAGAUAUUGGAAGGAACACCAGUGGCGAAGGCGAUCUGCUGGGCUCUAACUGACGCUGAUGCACGAAAGCAUGGGGAGCAAACAGGAUUAGAUACCCUGGUAGUCCAUGCCGUAAACGAUGAUUACUAGGUGUGGGGGGACUGACCCCUUCCGUGCCGGAGUUAACACAAUAAGUAAUCCACCUGGGAAGUACGAUCGCAAGGUUGAAACUCAAAGGAAUUGACGGGGGCCCGCACAAGCAGUGGAGUAUGUGGUCUAAUUCGAAGAUACGCGAAAAACCUUACCAGGUCUUGACAUCCAACUAACGAAGUAGAGAUACAUUAGGUGCCCUUCGGGGAAAGUUGAGACAGGUGGUGCAUGGUUGUCGUCAGCUCGUGUCGUGAGAUGUUGGGUUAAGUCCCGCAACGAGCGCAACCCUUACGGUUAGUUGCUACGCAAGAGCACUCUAACAGGACUGCCGUUGACAAAACGGAGGAAGGUGGGGAUGACGUCAAAUCAUCAUGCCCUUUAUGACCUGGGCUACACACGUACCACAAUGGCCGCUAACAGAGGGAUACAAUGGAGCGAUCCGGAGUCAAACCCUAAAAGCGGUCCCAGUUCAGAUUGCAGGCUGCAACUCGCCUGUAUGAAGUUGGAAUUGCUAGUAAUCGCGAAUCAGCAUGUCGCGGUGAAUACGUUCCCGGGCCUUGUACACACCGCCCGUCACACCAUGGGAGCCGGUAAUACCCAAAGUCAGUUGCCUAACCUUCGGGAGGGCGCUGCCUAAGGUAGGAUUGGCGACUGGGGUGAAGUCGUAACAAGGUAA